UAGGGAAUUUUGCGCAAUGGACGAAAGUCUGACGCAGCAACGCCGCGUGAGGGAUGAAGGUCUUCGGAUUGUAAACCUCUGUUGGGUGGGAAGAAACUUUUCCGGAAUAAUACGCCGGGAAACUGACGGUACCACUUGAGGAAGCCCCGGCUAACUACGUGCCAGCAGCCGCGGUAAUACGUAGGGGGCAAGCGUUGUUCGGAAUCACUGGGCGUAAAGGGAGUGUAGGCGGAAUGGUAAGUUGGAAGUUUAAUUUCUGGGCUCAACCCAGAACCUGCUUUCAAUACUGCUAUUCUUGAGUAUGGGAGAGGAUGAUGGAAUUCCAGGUGUAGCGGUGGAAUGCGUAGAUAUCUGGAAGAACACCAGUUGCGAAGGCGGUCAUCUGGCCCAAUACUGACGCUGAGGCUCGAAAGCUAGGGGAGCAAACAGG
rnacentral:rRNA from 1 species